rnacentral:rRNA from 1 species
UAGUCAUAUGCUUGUCUCAAAGAUUAAGCCAUGCAUGUCUAAGUAUAAGCAAUUAUACCAUGAAACUGCGAAUGGCUCAUUAAAUCAGUUAUCGUUUAUUUGAUAGUACCUUACUACUUGGAUACCCGUGGUAAUUCUAGAGCUAAUACAUGCUGAAAACCCCGACUUCGGAAGGGGUGUAUUUAUUAGAUAAAAAACCAAUGCCCUUCGGGGCUACUUGGUGAUUCAUAAUAACUUAACGGAUCGCACGGCCUUGCGCCGGCGACGGUUCAUUCAAAUUUCUGCCCUAUCAACUUUCGAUGGUAAGGUAUUGGCUUACCAUGGUUUCAACGGGUAACGGGGAAUAAGGGUUCUAUUCCGGAGAGGGAGCCUGAGAAACGGCUACCACAUCCAAGGAAGGCAGCAGGCGCGCAAAUUACCCAAUCCCGACACGGGGAGGUAGUGACAAUAAAUACUGAUACAGGGCUCUUUUGGGUCUUGUAAUUGGAAUGAGUACAACUUAAAUCCCUUAACGAGGAACAAUUGGGGGGCAAGUCUGGUGCCAGCAGCC